rnacentral:lncRNA from 1 species
UUAUAAAAUAAUUCUUAGGUAGAGAGUAUAUUGAAGUUCUAAUUUUAUAAAGAGCUCUUAAAAUAAUUUUUAUGUAUUUUAAACUAAAUUAUAAUUUAAAAAAAUAGGGCGCAAUUUAAUGUCCGUCUAUGUCUCUCCUCUAAUUAUUUUACACACGUCACAUAACUUAACAAAGAAUUAACUUUGUGUUAUUUUGAAAUAAAAAUAAAAAACUUCCACAUAAGGGAGUACAAUCGAUUUUUCUCCCCGGAACUUGUGAUUUAAAAGGGAAUAUGCUCGCCAUUAUUGUAGUGCUCCCGCUGAAGCGACUCCACUCUGCCUUGCAGAGCUUGAAAUGACUCACUUAAGGACGGCGUUAGGCGAAGAUAUUUCCUAUGUCUUAACGGAAAGUGGUCUUCCUUCUCAUCAUAGUGAGCCUCAUCUUCAAGAAAGAUCGCAGCGCUUGUGAUGAUUUUAGACGCUAUAUAAUCGUUUGGUUUCUGGAAAUUUAAAGGGAAAUAGCUCAAAAUACCACCCAUUUUAUAAUUUUUUGUCAAAAUACCAUCCCUCUCCAAAAAUUUUAAAACUGUCACAUAUAAAUACAUCUUUAUUGUCCACUGAUUGCACCCAUAUUACAUUUUCAGAAAUUU